rnacentral:rRNA from 1 species
UACGUAGGGACCAAGCGUUGUUCGGAAUCACUGGGCGUAAAGGGUGCGUAGGCGGGUCUUUAAGUCAGGGGUGAAAUCCUGGAGCUCAACUCCAGAACUGCCUUUGAUACUGAAGAUCUUGAGUUCGGGAGAGGUGAGUGGAACUGCGAGUGUAGAGGUGAAAUUCGUAGAUAUUCGCAAGAACACCAGUGGCGAAGGCGGCUCACUGGCCCGAUACUGACGCUGAGGCACGAAAGCGUGGGGAGCAAACAGG